AGUGAACGCUGGCGGUAGGCCUAACACAUGCAAGUCGAGCGGCAGCACAGUAAGAGCUUGCUCUUACGGGUGGCGAGUGGCGGACGGGUGAGGAAUACAUCGGAAUCUACUUUUUCGUGGGGGAUAACGUAGGAAACUUACGCUAAUACCGCAUACGACCUACGGGUGAAAGCAGGGGAUCUUCGGACCUUGCGCGAUUGAAUGAGCCGAUGUCGGAUUAGCUAGUUGGCGGGGUAAAGGCCCACCAAGGCGACGAUCCGUAGCUGGUCUGAGAGGAUGAUCAGCCACACUGGAACUGAGACACGGUCCAGACUCCUACGGGAGGCAGCAGUGGGGAAUAUUGGACAAUGGGCGCAAGCCUGAUCCAGCCAUACCGCGUGGGUGAAGAAGGCCGUCGGGUUGUAAAGCCCUUUUGUUGGGAAAGAAAAGCAGCAGGUUAAUACCCCGCUGUUCUGACGGUACCCAAAGAAUAAGCACCGGCUAACUUCG
rnacentral:rRNA from 1 species